GGUGAGAUACUCAAGUGGCCAACGAGGGCAGACUGUAAAUCUGCUGAUUUUUAUCUUCGAAGGUUCGAAUCCUUCUCUCACCACCA
rnacentral:tRNA from 20 species